rnacentral:rRNA from 1 species
AUUGAACGCUGGCGGAAUGCUUUACACAUGCAAGUCGAGCGGCAGCGCGGGGGCAACCCCGGCGGCGAGCGGCGAACGGGUGAGUAAUACAUCGGAACGUGUCCUUGAGUGGGGGAUAGCUCGGCGAAAGCCGGAUUAAUACCGCAUAAGCUCUGCGGAGGAAAGCGGGGGACUGGUAACGGCCUCGCGCUGUUGGAGCGGCCGAUGUCGGAUUAGCUAGUUGGUGGGGUAAAGGCCCACCAAGGCGACGAUCCGUAGCUGGUCUGAGAGGAUGAUCAGCCACACUGGAACUGAGACACGGUCCAGACUCCUACGGGAGGCAGCAGUGGGGAAUUUUGGACAAUGGGGGCAACCCUGAUCCAGCCAUUCCGCGUGAGUGAAGAAGGCCU